rnacentral:rRNA from 1 species
UACGGAGGGUGCAAGCGUUAUCCGGAUUCACUGGGUUUAAAGGGUGCGUAGGCGGAUCUGUAAGUCCGUGGUGAAAUCUCUAAGCUUAACUUGGAAAUUGCCGUGGAUACUAUAAGUCUUGAAUAUUGUGGAGGUUAGCGGAAUAUGUCAUGUAGCGGUGAAAUGCAUAGAUAUGACAUAGAACACCAAUUGCGAAGGCAGCUGGCUACACAACUAUUGACGCUGAGGCACGAAAGCGUGGGGAUCAAACAGG